AAAACCGGCACAAACGAGAGCAAAACUGAUGCAGUUUAUCAAUUCUUCCGAGAAUUUUCUCUCAAAGUGUGUCUCAACAAGAUUUUCGGUGAUUCCAUGGUGUGGUAGUUUCAAAGAAAACGCCAUGCAGAGCAUCAUGCAGAGCGGCUGAAGAGGGCUUUUGAAGGUCACUGCACUCAUUACGGUUGCAUUUUGGUGAACAACACACAAAAACAACCUGAAUUCCUCGUUGAGAAAAGGGCUGUAAAGCUGGAACAAACCAUUCUGUGUAUUCCCGGCCACAUGUGGUGGCUCUUGAGUCUCCAGAUGUUCAUUGAAGACUCUAACCGGCCGGGAAUCCCCGGGGAAGCCCAAGAAACCAUUCAAGAAUCUGCAGUCUUCAGAUGCUGCAAAUGUGCUCCAGAGCUACAGAGCAAAAUGAUACCCUCGAAAUUGAGAGCGACACUGUGAUGAGUCCUCGAGGAGCGCUGCUUUCUGCUGUACACUUCUCACUUCUCUCCAACGCCGCGGCGCUUGUACAUCCUGCCACCGACGUCUGAGUUCCGGCGGGAGACGAAAAUGAGUCCCGGAGUGCAGAUUCGGCCCAAGGGCGAGUGGCUUUCGCAGCCAACCAAGGAAGAUCUUCUGGACGCUGCUGUCUGUGAACUCUGGCAUUGACGGUGCUUCUGUUGGAUCACACGUGGAUUCUGCUGUUUUCUCCAACAACAACAACCUGAAAGGCUUGAAACUGAUAAGAAGACUACAAGAGCGCUCUCAUCAUCAUAAUCAUUCCCGAUGGCAUCCAACAUGCACAAAAGCACUGGCUGCAGAUGACAUGACUAAUUACACUCGCCUAGCAAUGAGGGACUCUCUUCCCGCUCUUUUGCUGUUUACCAUGUGAGAGUGAGGGUUGAUAAUGAUGGAAGGGUUGGACUGCAAUCACUCAAAUUUAUUACAAUACUCAGCUGUCACGUGACGCGACUGCGGUGGAAUGAAAAUGUGUGAUCCAUCGCGGUGGAGGAAAGUGAAUGUGAAUUAUCACUAAUGGUGAUUGAAUUGAGAAUCCACAAAGUCUCUAGUGUGCGCUAGUGAGAUAAUUGCUAAGUGGACAGAGUCUCAUGUCAUAAAUUUCACAUUUUCAACUUUUCCAUUCCCACCCACUUUUCCCACGCUGUUCCGCCCUUUGAGGGUAGAAAAUGCAAUUGUACGGUAUAUUCGAAAUGAAAAAUGUCAGAAGGAAAAACAUGUAAGCUGUCGCAAGUGUAUAUAUAUUGGAAAUAAAUUAU